rnacentral:rRNA from 1 species
AUUGAACGCUGGCGGCAGGCCUAACACAUGCAAGUCGAACGGAGUGGCGGACGGGUGAGUAAUGCCUAGGAAUCUGCCUGGUUGUGGGGGAUAACUUCCGGAAACGGGCGCUAAUACCGCAUACUAUCAGAUGAGCCUAGGUCGGAUUAGCUAGUUGGUGGGGUAAUGGCUUACCAAGGCGACGAUCCGUAACUGGUCUGAGAGGAUGAUCAGACACCAUGGAACUGAGACACGGUCCAGACUCCUACGGGAGGCAGCAGUGGUGAAUAUUGGACAAUGGGCGAAAGCCUGAUGCAGCCAUGCCGCGUGUGUGAAGAAGGUCUUCGGAUUGUAAAGCACUUUAAGCUGGGAGGCGUUACUAACAGAAUAAGCACCGGCUAACUUCGUGCCAGCCGCCGCGGUAAUGC